CGAUUCCUUCAGGGCGGGGUGCAAGUCCCCACCGGCGGUGAUGGCAGGUCUGCCUCAGCCCGCGAAGCCUGGAAAUCCAGCCGUACAUCCAGGCCCGAUUGCGUGAGAAUCGCAAGCCGACGGUAACAGUCCGGAUGGGAGAAGGGGUGA
rnacentral:ncRNA from 2 species